GAUGAAGAACGUAGCGAAAUGCGAUAAGUAAUGUGAAUUGCAGAAUUCAGUGAAUCAUCGAAUCUUUGAACGCACAUUGCGCCCUUUGGUAUUCCUUAGGGCAUGCCUGUUCGAGCGUCAUAUAAUUACUCAAGCAAAGCUUGGUUAUGGGUGCCUGUCCCGCCCCGCGCGUGGACUCACCUCAAAUCCAUUGGCGGCCCCCCGCCGGCCACGAGCGCAGCAGAAACGCGGUCUCGUGCCCCGGUAGGGCGGCUCCCAGAAGCAAACCCCCCAUUUUUGACCUCGGAUCAGGUAGGGAUACCCGCUGAACUUAAGCAUAUCAAUAAGCGGAGGA
rnacentral:misc_RNA from 1 species